rnacentral:rRNA from 1 species
UACGUAGGGGGCAAGCGUUGUCCGGAAUCAUUGGGCGUAAAGCGCGCGUAGGCGGCCCGGUAAGUCCGCUGUGAAAGUCCAAGGCUCAACCUUUGAAUGCCGGUGGAUACUGUCGGGCUAGAGUCCGGAAGAGGCGAGUGGAAUUCCUGGUGUAGCGGUGGAAUGCGCAGAUAUCAGGAGGAACACCAAUAGCGAAGGCAGCUCGCUGGGACGGUACUGACGCUAAGGCGCGAAAGCGUGGGGAGCGAACAGG